UCCCUGGGGGUCCAGUGUUUAGGACUCAUCACUUUUACUGCUGUGGCCUGGAUUCAAUCCCUGGUUGGGGAA
rnacentral:tRNA from 1 species